AACUGCUAGUAAAGCACGUAAUGACGAACACGUGAGGUAGGGGCAAACAACUCCAGGCCUGGCUUCUGCUCCCGACGUGUUCCGGCGCGUCCGGGUUCAAAUCCGCCUGCCGACCUCUCGGGGUGUUUGAGAGGUGAUGAAAUGGGAGGUGGCUCCCCAUCUUAUGGACGGUGUAGGACGUGAUAAAAUCAACUCGCGAGCUGACCAGGAACUAAGUUGACGCGCCGUUGAUCCGCUAGAUCUGGUUGGAUGCUGGUGGUGAGUUGCCAAACUCAAAGAGUACACGCUGAAGUCGGAUGGGGUGAAUGGCUUAGGGUGCCCCUCUAGCAGGGGAGAGCAGGGAAUUGCCUCGGGAAGGAGNNNNNNNNNNNNNNNNNNNNNNNNNNNNNNNNNNNNNNNNNNNNNNNNNNUUCAGACUUAUCUUGCUGUUUUUGUGUUUGUUCGGCGUUCAAGUCGUUGCCUUUUGCGUGUUUGUCUAUGGAAGGACCGGUCAUACAUUCUGCUAUGCCGCGUUGACUCACGGGCUUGACCUUCUUACGGCCCCUCAUAUCUAUUUUAUGAUCGAUAAUACUAAGUUCUGCACACUACGGAGCAAUCUGGCAGCAAUGGACGUUUUUGGCUGAAGGAAUGAAAAUGUACGGAUCGGCCUCACUUUGUUCCUUAUUUCCAAAGGCCAAAAAGGCCUCUUUAUUCCUUAAAAGUAAUAUAUUACUUAAAAAAAAAACACUGCCGUUGGGUCCUAUUACUGUGGCUACCAUUCACUGGUAUAUGAGUGUCGGUCAUUUCCAACACCCCCCCGUGAGCGACACUCCAUCGCUACGGGCCGUCCCGUGCCUCAUCCCGGUCUCCCAUUCUCUAGGCAACAGCCAGUGGGUAUCGAUCCGGCGACCUCUCGGCAGCGCAAUGCGCCAUUCGGGGCUCAUUUCUUAUUGACGAAUUGGCGACGGAGACAGCUAACGCUGAUUGUUAUUCCGGAAGGAUUGCCGGUGGCGAAGAUAUUUUGCACAAUAAAAUAUUACAAGUAAUGUAAAGAGUAUUAUUAGCGUUCGGCAGGACUUGAGGAGAUUCCUAUGAGGAAUACCGAUCGUAGUGAGAUAAACAAAUAAGCGCAGUCACCGCCCUAAAUACCGGCGCUAGCGGAAAACUCGUACAUUCCGCGAUCUAACUGCACGUACAUUCCGCGAUCUCACUGCGCCGUCCUGACGGUGCCCAAAUGUCUAUCACUUAGCUACAGUAUAUGCAUCGGUAGCCCAUAAGGUUCUGGGUUAAGUCUUCCCCAUUAGUCAGGCGCAGUCUCAGGGUCAAGACCCCUGGUUGACAACCAUACGAGUUGGGAGAGGACCGUUUCCUCAACAAAGGUCACGCACCUUGAAGACUUUCGCUAUUGCGGCUUUAAUUGCCCGGACCAUUUCCGGGUCUUCUGACGCAAUAAUGGUGUCAUCUACGUGCACCAAAGCAAUAACAGGCAGGCGGCUGGCAGAGGUUAAGGCCUGACUUCUGCUCCCGGUCGACCUGGGUUCAAAUCCGCCUGCCGACCUCUCGGGUGUUUGAGAGGUGGUGAAAUGGGAGGUGGCCCCCCAUCUUGUGGACGGUGUAGGACGUGAUAAAAUCAACUUGCGAGCUGUCCAGGAACUAGGUUGAGGCGCCGUUGAUCCGCUAGAUUUGGUUGGAUGCUGGUGGUGAGUUGCCAAACUCAAAGAGUACACGCUGAAGUCGGAUGGGGUGAAUGGCUUAGGGUGCCCCUCUAGCAGGGGAGAGCAGGGAAUUGCCUCGGGAAGGAGGCCACUGGUGAAGCUUAACCACCCUGUAACAACAUCAACAACCCCACGCUCGUCCGUCUUAACGAACAUCGCCGAAUCAGACUUCGAAGGAUAAAGACCCAGCUUGGCGAACUCUGCUGAUAGCUUUACAUACCAUGGCAGGCGGCUGGCAGAAGUUAAGGCCUGACUUCUGCUCCCAGUCGAUCCAGUCGACCCGGGUUCAAAUCCGCCUGCCAGCUCCUCGGGUAUUUGAGGAGUGAUGAAAUGGGAGGUGGCCCCCCAUCAUAUGGACGGUGUAGGACGUGAUAAUAUCAACUUGCGAGCUGACCAGGAACUAAGUUGAUGCGCCGUUGAUCCGCUAGAUUUGGUUGGAUGCUGGUGGUGAGUUGCCGAACCCAACGAAUACAUUCUGAAGUCGGAUGGGGUGACGGAUUAGGGUGCCCCUCUAGCAGGGGAGAGCAGGGACUGCCCCGGGAAAGGGGGCCGCUGGCGAAGUUAACCACCCUGUAAUAACAUACAUACCAGCAACGGGGUGCCUGCUUCAAACCGUAAAUAGACCUCUCCAGCUUGCACGCAAGCGACCGGUCACUGGAUGCAUACCCAGGCGGUUGCUCCAUCCACAACUCCUCCUUCAACUCGCCAUUCAAAAAUGCAGUAGACACAUCGAGCUGGUGCACCGUCAUGUUCCGCGCUGCGGCAACUGCUAGUAAAGCACGUAAUGACGAACACGUGAGGUAGGGGCAAACAACUCCAGGCCUGGCUUCUGCUCCCGACGUGUUCCGGCGCGUCCGGGUUCAAAUCCGCCUGCCGACCUCUCGGGGUGUUUGAGAGGUGAUGAAAUGGGAGGUGGCUCCCCAUCUUAUGGACGGUGUAGGACGUGAUAAAAUCAACUCGCGAGCUGACCAGGAACUAAGUUGACGCGCCGUUGAUCCGCUAGAUCUGGUUGGAUGCUGGUGGUGAGUUGCCAAACUCAAAGAGUACACGCUGAAGUCGGAUGGGGUGAAUGGCUUAGGGUGCCCCUCUAGCAGGGGAGAGCAGGGAAUUGCCUCGGGAAGGAGGCCACUGGUGAAGCUUAACCACCCUGUAACAACAUCAACUC
rnacentral:lncRNA from 1 species